rnacentral:rRNA from 1 species
UGACGUUGAGGCACGAAAGUGUGGGGAGCAAACAGGAUUAGAUACCCUGGUAGUCCACACCGUAAACGAUGAAUACUAGGUGUAGGGUAUAUGAAGUACUCUGUGCCGUCGCAAACGCAGUAAGUAUUCCACCUGGGGAGUACGGCCGCAAGGUUGAAACUCAAAGGAAUUGACGGGGGCCCGCACAAGCAGUGGAGUAUGUGGUUUAAUUCGAAGCAACGCGAAGAACCUUACCAGGGCUUGACAUAUAGAGGAAUAUACUAGAGAUAGUAUAGCUCUUCGGAGUCUCUAUACAGGUGGUGCAUGGUUGUCGUCAGCUCGUGUCGUGAGAUGUUGGGUUAAGUCCCGCAACGAGCGCAACCCUUGCCUUUAGUUGCCAGCACGUAAUGGUGGGAACUCUAGAGGGACUGCCGGUGAUAAAUCGGAGGAAGGUGGGGACGACGUCAAAUCAUCAUGCCCUUUAUGUCCUGGGCUACACACGUACUACAAUGGCUGUAACAGAGGGAAGCGAAUUAGUGAUAAUAAGCGAAACCCAAAAAGCAGUCUCAGUUCGGAUUGAAGUCUGAAAUUCGACUUCAUGAAGCCGGAAUGCUAGUAAUG